rnacentral:rRNA from 1 species
GACGAACCGUGCGAACGUUGUUCGGAAUCACUGGGCUUAAAGGGCGCGUAGGCGGACCUCCAAGUCCGGGGUGAAAUCUUUCGGCUUAACCGGAAAAGUGCUUUGGAUACUGGGGGUCUCGAGGGAGGCAGGGGCGGAUGGAACUUCCGGUGGAGCGGUGAAAUGCGUUGAUAUCGGAAGGAACGCUGGUGGCGAAAGCGAUCCGCUGGACCUCUUCUGACGCUGAGGCGCGAAAGCCAGGGGAGCAAACGGG